rnacentral:rRNA from 1 species
GAUGAACGCUGGCGGCGUGCCUAAUACAUGCAAGUCGAGCGAAUGGAUUAAGAGCUUGCUCUUAUGAAGUUAGCGGCGGACGGGUGAGUAACACGUGGGUAACCUGCCCAUAAGACUGGGAUAACUCCGGGAAACCGGGGCUAAUACCGAAUAACAUUUUGAACCGCAUGGUUCGAAAUUGAAAGGCGGCUUCUGCUGUCACUUAUGGAUGGACGCGCGUCGCAUUAGCUAGUUGGUGAGGUAACGGCUCACCAAGGCAACGGUGCGUAGCCGACCUGAGAGGGUGAUCGGCCACACUGGGACUGAGACACGGCCCAGACUCCUACGGGAGGCAGCAGUAGGGAAUCUUCCGCAAUGGACGAAAGUCUGACGGAGCAACGCCGCGUGAGUGAUGAAGGCUUUCGGGUCGUAAAACUCUGUUGUUAGGGAAGAACAAGUGCUAGUUGAAUAAGCUGGCACCUUGACGGUACCUAACCAGAAAGCCACGGCUAACUACGUGCCAGCAGCCGCCGUAA